CGUAGAGAAAUCGAGUCUUAAUAGGGCGUUUAGUUGCUGGGUAUAGACCCGAAACCAGGCGAUCUAUCCAUGAGCAGGUUGAAGGUUGGGUAACACUAACUGGAGGACCGAACCCACUGUCGUUGAAAAGCCAGGGGAUGACUUGUGGAUAGGGGUGAAAGGCUAAUCAAGCCUGGUGAUAGCUGGUUCUCCCCGAAAGCUAUUUAGGUAGCGCCUCGGACGAAUACCAUAGGGGGUAGAGCACUGUUUCGGCUAGGGGGUCAUCCCGACUUACCAAACCGAUGCAAACUCCGAAUACCUAUGAGUACUAUCCGGGAGACAGACUGCGGGUGCUAACGUCCGUAGUCAAGAGGAAAACAAUCCAGACCGCCAGCUAAGGCCCCAAAAUCAUAGUUAAGUGGGAAACGAUGUGGGAAGGCAUAGACAGCUAGGAGGUUGGCUUAGAAGCAGCCACCCUUUAAAGAAAGCGUAAUAGCUCACUAGUCGAGUCGGCCUGCGCGGAAGAUGUAACGGGGCUAAAACUAUGUGCCGAAGCUGCGGAUUUGACAUUAGUCAAGUGGUAGGGGAGCGUUCUGUAAGCCGAUGAAGGUG
rnacentral:rRNA from 1 species